CGAACUCCUGACCUUGAGUAAUCCAUCCGCCUCAGCCUCCCAGAGUGCUAGGAUUACAGGCAUGAGCCACUGAGACUGGCCUAAGAUGCUCUUCUUUAGGGGAAGGUGCCAGACACUAUUCUAGCACUGAGACAGCAGUAAACAAAACAGCCCCAAAUCCCUGCCGCAGGGCACUUCCAGUGGGUUUCUUGAGCCUUCCAAUUGAGAGACAGGCCUGGCUCCUCUUGAUCACAGACCUGGCACAGGUUCCUGCUCACCGAUGUCUCUGACACCCUGAACUCUCACCCUGAUGACCCCUGAAUGAGCUGUCUCAGAAGGUAAUGGAAACUCUGUGACUCUACAUGGAAUUGGCGAUGCCUCCACCUUCUUCCAAAAAUCCUUUGAAAUAUCUUUCAUAUAAGAAACUAGAUGCAUUCGCAAGCUACACAUCCGAUAAAGGGCUGAUAACUAGAAUCUAUUUAGAACUCAGGAUCAGGGAAAUGCAAAU